GAUGAAGAACGUAGUGAAAUGCGAUAAGUAAUGUGAAUUGCAGAAUUCAGUGAAUCAUCGAAUCUUUGAACGCACAUUGCGCCCCCUGGAAUUCCGGGGGGCAUGCCUGUUCGAGCGUCUCAGGGACGAACCCUCGCGCGGGUGUACGCGCGGUCGUGGCUGCGGUGGCGUGCCCGAGGCGGCGGCCACCGCGCUGGAAUCCAUGGGCGGACGCCUGCCGCGUGGCCGAGCGUGAUAUGACGCAUUGGCGCUCGCACGCGGAGAGGCUGCCAGCCCUGGCCCGUCUGUCGGGCGGGGGAGAGCAAGACACGUGAACUCCUCGAAUCAGGUAGGGAUACCCGCUGAACUUAAGCAUAUCAAUAAGCGGAGGA
rnacentral:misc_RNA from 1 species